rnacentral:rRNA from 1 species
AUUGAACGCUGGCGGCAGGCCUAACACAUGCAAGUCGAGCGGAUGAAGGGAGCUUGCCCCUGGAUUCAGCGGCGGACGGGUGAGUAAUGCCUAGGAAUCUUCCUUUUAGUGGGGGAUAACGUCCGGAAACGGGCUCUAAUACCGCAUACGUCCUGAGGGAGUAAGUGGGUGAUCUUCGGACCUCACGCUAUCAGAUGAGCCUAGGUCGGAUUAGCUAGUUUGUGGGGUAAAUGCCUACCAAGGCGACGAUACGGAACUGGUCUGAGGAGAUGAUCAGGCCGACCGGAACGGAGACACGGCCACGAGGCCAACGAGAGGCAGCAGUGACGACUACUGGACAAAGCGCGAAAGAAUAUUCCAGCAAUGCCGCGUGUGUGAAGCAGGUAUUCGGAGUGUAAAAAGAAUGAAGUUGGGAUGAAGGGCAGUAAGUUAAUACAUUGAUGUAUUGACGUUACCAACAGAAUAAGCAACGGCUAAAUUCGUG